GGACCUGACUGCUAUCGGAUUGAUACUAAGCCAUGCGAGUCAUUGUAGCAAUACAGGGCAUACGGCUCAGUAACGCGUAGUCAACCUAACCUAUGGACGGGAAUAACCUCGGGAAACUGAGAAUAAUGCCCGAUAGAACAUUAUGCCUGGAAUGGUUUAUGUUCCAAAUGAUUUAUCGCCGUAGGAUGGGACUGCGGCCUAUCAGUUUGUUGGUGAGGUAAUGGCCCACCAAGACUAUUACAGGUACGGGCUCUGAGAGGAGUAGCCCGGAGAUGGGUACUGAGACACGGACCCAGGCCCUAUGGGGCGCAGCAGGCGAGAAAACUUUGCAAUGUGCGAAAGCACGACAAGGUUAAUCCGAGUGGUUUCUGCUAAAGAAACCUUUUGUCAGUCCUAGAAACACUGAUGAAUAAGGGGUGGGCUAGUUCUGGUGUCG
rnacentral:rRNA from 1 species